rnacentral:rRNA from 1 species
UACGUAGGGUCCGAGCGUUGUCCGGAAUUAUUGGGCGUAAAGGGCUCGUAGGCGGUUUGUCGCGUCGGGAGUGAAAACACGGGGCUUAACCCCGUGCCUGCUUCCGAUACGGGCAGACUAGAGGUAUGCAGGGGAGAACGGAAUUCCUGGUGUAGCGGUGAAAUGCGCAGAUAUCAGGAGGAACACCGGUGGCGAAGGCGGUUCUCUGGGACGGUACUGACGCUGAGACGCGAAAGCGUGGGGAGCGAACAGG